UUAAAGAGCUUUCGGAAUUAAAUUUAAUGUUUCCAAGAAUACAGGAUUCUUACCAAUUUAACACAGAUAUGAUGGAUUUUGUACCCUUAACUAAAAGAACUCUUGGUUAUACAGCAUUAAGGAAUCAGUUGUCACUGACACAAAUAUAGAUUUAAAUUGUGAAAAUGUUCAGGAAUCAGUUAUGCGUGACACAACAAGUAUGGAUUCAUAUUGUGAAAAUUUUCAGGAACCAUCUGAACUUAAUGUGACAGCUGAAAUUAACAAUGAAGUACUUCGUAAUGAUAAAAGGAAAAAACCAAAAAGAUUUUGUAUAUUUUGUAAAACCUACAGCUCCUAUUUGUCACGGCAUAUCAUUCUAGUGUUCAUAAAAAACUGCCAGAAGUUAUUGCAUUAAAAACUUGUAAUAAAGCAGAAAAGAACGAAAUAUUGCAAUCUUUUAAAAGAAAAGGGAUUUUUGAAGUGAAUAUGAAAGAAUGUAAUAAAGAAAACCCUAGGUUUGAAAGGGAGAAGCAUGCAGUAAAACAUAUGGGUAUAAACUAUUGCAGCAAAUGCAUGAAAUUUGUAUCGAAAAAAUUCUGGCAUAAUCAUUUUAAAUUUUGUCAGAAAGACUCAAGUAUGAAAGUUCAUCCUGUUCCGGUGAACACUUUAGGAAUACCAAAAAAUUCUUUAAUAUCGGAAGGUUUUAAAAAAGAUAUAAUGUCUCAUUUUAAAUGUGACAAAAUUUUUAAUAUUUGUAUGAAGGAUAUAAUGAUUCUUAAAAUAGGUUCAAUGAUGUAUGAACGAGAAAGAAAUAACAAAGAUAAGGUUAGAGUGUCUAGAAACUCUGUAAGAAGUUCUAUGAGGCAACUGGCAUACUUAUAUGAUAUUUUUUGUCAACAGGAAAAUAUAGCAAAGGUGCACAAUAACUUGUCUGAUAUGUUCUUGAGACAAAACUUUAUGUCAUUUAAAGAAUCAGUUGAAAUAUAUACUACAAAAGAUUCAGUAAAUAUUAAAGCUGGUCUUAAACAAAAUUUGUUAUUUUUAAAAAUAAAAGCGCUUAAGAUCAUGAAAGGCAUUUAUUUUACGGAGUGUAAAGACAGUGAUGCAAUUCAAAUUGAUGAGUUCAAUUCAAUAUUUAAUAUGUGGAAGGCUUCUAUGUUUAGAGAUGCUAGUAUUAGUUUGCUUAAAAACAAGCAAACUAAAUUACGAAAACUAGCUAAACUUCCUGUGGAUGAAGAUGUAAUAAUGUUUAGAGACCAUGUUAUCUCAAGAAUGGAAAGCCUUACAAGCGAUCCAUUUUAUAUGUUUGAUUUGGAUAGUUUUGUUGAGCUAAGAGAUUGUGCGUGUGCAAGACUCACAUUGCUUAAUGGUAGAAGAGGAGGUGAACCAGCAAGGCUCUUUUUAAGUGAAUACAAUGAAGCCCUUGACGAUGAUUAUAUAGAUAAGUCACGUUUGGAUGAGUUUAACACAACUGACCAAAAAUUAAUCAAAAAUAUAAAAAUAACAUACAUGGCUGGCAAAGGGACGAAACAAGUUCCUGUUUUAAUACCACCAGAAACAAUGGCAGCAUUAAAAAUUAUAUCAGAUUCAAAUAUAAGGGCAAGUGUAAACAUUCCAAUAGAAAACAAGUAUCUAUUUGCUUGCACAAAGAAUUCUGACAGCCAUACCUCUGGCUGGAGUGCGAUAAACAGUAUUGCCCAAAAUCUAAACUUAAAAAAACCAGAGAAUUUUAAAGCAACUGGUAAUAGACAUUACAUUAGCACUAUUUUUUCUAAUCUUGAUAUACCAGAAUUGGAUAGAGAACUAUUUUACACCCAUAUGGGCCAUUCAAAAGAUACCAACAAAAAUACUUAUCAAACUCCACAAGCUAUGCAGACAAUUACACGCAUAGGGAGCAGGCUUUUAGAGAUUGAGGGUGGUAAUAAACCUACGAAGUUUUGUCAACCUACAGAUACAUCAGAACAGACAAGCAAUGGUGGUAAUAAACCUACAAAGUUUUGUCAACCUACAUAUGUAUCAGAACAGACAAGCAAUGAGGCAUCUUGUUCAACUUGGACUAAGCAAAGUCACCGUGAGAGUAAAAAUAUAUUAUCAGACAAAUCAAUAAAAAGAAAAAAUGACUGAAUUUAAAUAUUAAAAAUGAAUAACAAAUGUGGAUCUGGGCGACCACCAAGAAAAAGAACACAUAAUAUUAUAACUAGACAUCAAAGUGAAACAUAUGCUGGACAACCAAAUGAACUACCUGUUAGUGACCUCCCAACAUAUAAACAGUUUAUUCAAUAUAUAAGGUCGAAAAUGAAAUAACUACAACUGAAAAAAUUGACUCUCCAGCCGUAGUUUUAAAAGUGAGUGAAGAAAUUUUAAAAAUUUGGAAAAACCUUAAUCCAAAUCUUCCACUAAUGAAAGAGAAACCUCUAAGAAAUAAGGUACAAAGAACAUUUCAAAAAGUAAUUGCAGCUGAACGAUCUAAAGCUUCAAAACAUAAAAAUAUUGUUUGUUGGUUAGAUAAUAACCUUUUAAAGUUAUUUGAUAUAUCAGCAUGCAGAUGUGAACUUCCUCUUUUAAAUUGUGAUGACAGAAAUGUUCAAUGCAAGGGUUGCUCUAACAAGCACUAUAUAUGUCUCUGUGAAAAAAGUAAACAGGUUCCAGUUCUAGAACGAGAGUAUUUAAAGGACCAGAAAGUUAAGCAAGGGCCCUUUGGAACCUGGCAGAUAGGCCGAAUUGAUAAGAAAGAAACAGCCAUGACUGCAAGAAAAAGAAAUAAGGAGAAAAUUAAUAUGAAAAGUGACACAACACUCCAUUCAGAUAAUGAUUAUAUUAGUGAAACUGAUAUGGAAAUAGAUAACGAUGAUGAUUAUAAAAAGCAGAAUCGUGAGUUUUUUGCAAAACCACUGUGUGAAAAAAAUUACACAGAUUUAACUAACAUUGCCAAAGCUGCCAUUAGGUUCCAAGUUAGUGAUGCUGCAACAUCUGCCAUAACAACUGCUACCUUGAUAGACUAUCAAAUUAUAACUCAGAAUGACAGAUCACAAAUUACCACUGAAAAAAAGAUAUUUGACACUAAAAAGCGUGUUUCAACCAUGUUUAGUGAAAAACACUGUUCAGAAGUUUUCCAUUUGAAAGUCAUUGGAGUAGAUAGUAAAAAAAGACAAAAAUACAUUAGCACAUAUAUUAGGAUAUGAUCAUAAUGCUGAACCUAUUGUUAAUAGAACAGUAAAGGAUGAACAUCACUUAACUUUUACUGCAGAAAGUGGACCUUUUUCUAAAAAAUAUUUAACUCAUAUUGAAAUAAAAAAUGGAACAG